rnacentral:rRNA from 1 species
UGGGGAAUAUUGCGCAAUGGGCGAAAGCCUGACGCAGCGACGCCGCGUGAGGGAUGAAGGUUUUCGGAUCGUAAACCUCUGUCGGAAGGGAAGAAAGCGGGUGUUGCCAAUCAGGCAUCCGUUGACGGUACCUUCAAAGGAAGCGCCGGCUAACUCCGUGCCAGCAGCCGCGGUAAUACGGAGGGCGCGAGCGUUAAUCGGAAUUACUGGGCGUAAAGCGCGCGUAGGCUGUUGUGUAAGUCAGAGGUGAAAGCCCACGGCUUAACCGUGGAACUGCCUUUGAUACUGUGCGACUUGAAUCCGGGAGAGGGCGGCGGAAUUCCAGGUGUAGGAGUGAAAUCCGUAGAUAUCUGGAGGAACACCAGUGGCGAAGGCGGCCGCCUGGACCGGCAUUGACGCUGAGGCGCGAAAGCGUGGGGAGCAAACAGG